rnacentral:misc_RNA from 1 species
GCUAAAUAAGCAUCAGACAGGUAAAUAUGUCAUUGUUGAAUAUGAGACAACUGUAAUGUUACUUAAGUACAGAUUUGAAAUGGUUCAUAUUCGUGUUAACAUUAUGGUGAAUAAAGUUGGAAACAUGUAUCCAUCAAGAGCAACAAAAACAAAUCUUGCAAUGUCAAUCAUUAACGCUUUUCCUAAACUGCGCUCUGGUGGACCUCUAGGAUAUCAAAAAAAAGAAAAUAACACCUCAUGGACAUAUUGAAGAGCGACUGAAAACAAUUAGGAAGUUUGAUGGUGUCCAUGCUCAAGCUACUUGUAAACGAAAACCCAUUUCCCCAACAACUUUUGAUGUUGCAGUUCCUAUUUCAAAUGAAGAACGAAACAUUAUAUUUAUGAUGACAUUCAGUAUGAUCGAAAACAAUUUAUUCUUGAAAAAACUAAAGUAUCACAAAGAAACUGGAUUAAGUCAUCAAAACUGCCUUUUCAUGAGUUUAUUCGGAAAUUUCCCUCAUUUAAAGAUUUAGGAUUUGAUUUUCAGAGAAAGUUUACAAACAUUUGAAAAUGCUCAAGAU